UUUCCGUAGGUGAACCUGCGGAAGGAUCAUUAAAGUUAUAGUCCCCUGGCCCUUUCGGGUUGGGGUCUUCUAUACCACCCUUUGUUUAUUACACCUUUGUUGCUUUGGCAGGCCUGCCUUCGGGCUGCUGGCUCCGGCCGGCGAGCGCCUGCCAGAGUACCUAAACUCUGUUUGUCUAUACUGUCUGAGUACUAUAUAAUAGUUAAAACUUUCAACAACGGAUCUCUUGGUUUUG
rnacentral:misc_RNA from 1 species